AUGGAUUGGUAGUCGAACCCGUUAGUCAAAGGGUUAUGGAAUUAGGAAGCCAAAAAAAAUUUUAAUUUAGGAAAUUUAGAAAGGGCUAAGGCGCAUUAUAAUCCUACGUUUAAAAAAUCUGAAAGAGUUGUUGUCCCUAUUUCUGAAAGCGCACUUGAUCUAGGAAAACAUUUUGUGGUAAUUUUUAAGAAAAAUUCACUAACAAAACAGUAGGCUAAAUUGGGUAUCCGAUGAGUGGAAAUUCGGGUUUCGAGUUCGAGUUCAGAUCCUUCAAGUUCUAAAAAUAGAAGGGGUGGUACUAGAGAUAGUAGCAACCGUAGAAAUCAUAAAACCUCAUUUGCUCUACAAGGUCUUGGGAGUCAUUUUAAAUCUUUCAAGAACUCACGAAUUCCUUUAACAGAGUUCAUGGAGGUGAUGGUGGAGUUAUUUUUUCCCCAAGGUCCUAGUAAAACUAUGAAUUUCGAACUAGAUGACGCUGGUCCAAGUAUGGAUGGAGAUACUAUCUCUCGACAGUAAGGAUAAUAGUAAGAUCCACGAGGGAGGAGCUAGUUGGGCCCGUAUUUUUGGGUUACUCAUUUGGAACUUAUGGAAAAACUGUAACUUAUUCAUCUUUCGAGGAAGAUCAUAGAGCUCGAAGGAGAUAGUUCAAGUUUCUUACAGUUGGGCAAUUCAUUUCUUCUCAUCAUCUCAAGAAGAACCGAUUGAUUGUCUAGAAUGUUCUUUUGAAGCGCAGACUAGUAGGGAACGAAUUUUUCUUAAUACUGAUGGUGCAGUGCAAUUGGUUUCUAGAUAUGCUACUGGUGGGGGAGUUGUUCGUGGUAAACAUGGAGAUUGGAUCGUUGGUUAUCAUUGGUACCUUGGAAAAUGUUCAAUCUUUGAUGUGAACUAUGGGUAUUUUUGAAGGACUCAAGCUUAUUCAACGUAGAGACCAUGAUCAAUUUAUCAUUCAAUUUGAUAGUUUGGAAGUUUUAAAGCCAUCCUUGGAAACACUUUUACAAUUUCAAACUUAGCCAUAAUUAGGCGAAUCCAAAAUAUCUUAGCUUUGGAAAACCAGUGAUUUUUGCUGUACAUCCCGAGAGAACAGAAUCAAGUUGCAAAUUACUUGGCUAAACAAGCCUUGACCGGAAAAGACGAAUUGGAGGAGUUUGAGGACCCACCAACAGUGGUUCGCACUUCUUAUGAGAUGGACUAGUCUAAGGGUGAUCUUUCUUUUUAGAAUGUUGUUAUCUAAUUAGUUUGGUAUUAUUUUAGUAUCACCAAAAAAUGAAUAAAUGUUGAAAAAGAAAUUGUUGAAAAAUUAAGUAUUGACAAUUUAAGCAAUAAAUUGAAGUUAUAAAA